rnacentral:rRNA from 1 species
UACGUAGGGUGCAAGCGUUGUCCGGAAUUAUUGGGCGUAAAGAGCUCGUAGGCGGCUUGUCACGUCGGAUGUGAAAUCCCGAGGCUCAACCUCGGGCCUGCAUUCGAUACGGGCUAGCUAGAGUACUGCAGGGGAGACUGGAAUUCCAGGUGUAGCGGUGAAAUGCGCAGAUAUCAGGAGGAACACCGGUGGCGAAGGCGGGUCUCUGGGCAGUAACUGACGCUGAGGAGCGAAAGCGUGGGGAGCAAACAGG